GAUGAACGCUAGCGAUAGGCUUAACACAUGCAAGUCGAGGGGCAGCAUGGUCUUAGCUUGCUAAGACUGAUGGCGACCGGCGCACGGGUGCGUAACGCGUAUGCAACUUGCCUCACAGAGGGGGAUAACCCGUCGAAAGACGGACUAAUACCGCGUACACUUGGGAUAGGGCAUCCUGACCCAAGGAAAUGAAAGUGGCUGUGAGAUAGGCAUGCGUCCCAUUAGCUAGUUGGUGAGGUAACGGCUCACCAAGGCGACGAUGGGUAGGGGAACGGAGGGGGUGCACCCCCACACUGGGACUGAGACACGGACCACACUCCUACGGGACGCAGCAGUACGGAAUACUGGUGAAUGGGCGAGAGCCUGAAACAGCCAAGUCGCGUGAAGGAUGACUGUCUUCUGGAUUGUAAACUUCUUUUAUACGGGAAUAACAAGAGCCACGUGUGGCUCCCUGCAGGUACCGUAUGAAUAAGCAUCGGCUAACUCCGUG
rnacentral:rRNA from 1 species